rfam:Trametes versicolor FP-101664 SS1 unplaced genomic scaffold TRAVEscaffold_6, whole genome shotgun sequence.
GGCCUGGUGGUCUAGUAGUAUGAUUCCUUCUUAGGGCUACGCAGCAUUUGGAGGAGGUCCCGGGUUCAAUUCCCGGCCAGGCCC